GAUCAUGGCUCGGGACGAACGCUGGCGGCGCGCCUAACACAUGCAAGUCGAACGGAGUUAUUUUGGCAGAAGCCUUCGGGCGGACGCUGAUAUAACUUAGUGGCGAACGGGUGAGUAACACGUGAGCAACCUGCCCUUCAGAGGGGGACAACAGUUGGAAACGACUGCUAAUACCGCAUAAGACCACGGUGUGGCAUCACACAGAGGUCAAAGGAGAAAUCCGCUGAAGGAUGGGCUCGCG
rnacentral:rRNA from 1 species